rnacentral:tRNA from 1 species
GGUAUAGCUCAAUGGUAGAGAGCAUGCCUAGCAUGUAUGAAGCCCUAGGUUUGAAUCCCAGUACC